rnacentral:rRNA from 1 species
AACGAACGCUGGCGGCAUGCCUAACACAUGCAAGUCGAACGAGACCUUCGGGUCUAGUGGCGCACGGGUGCGUAACGCGUGGGAACCUGCCCUUAGGUUCGGAAUAACUCCCCGAAAGGGGUGCUAAUACCGGAUAAUGUCUUCGGACCAAAGAUUUAUCGCCUUUGGAUGGGCCCGCGUUGGAUUAGCUAGUUGGUAGGGUAAAAGCCUACCAAGGCGACGAUCCAUAGCUGGUAUGAGAGGAUGAUCAGCCACACUGGGACUGAGACACGGCCCAGAAUCCUACGGGAGGCAGCAGUGGGGAAUAUUGGACAGUGGGCGGAAGCCUGAUCCAGCAAUGCCGGGUGAGUGAUGAAGGCCUUAGGGUUGUAAAGCUCGUUUACCCGGGAUGAUAAUGACAGUACCGGGAGAAUAAGCACCGGCUAACUUCGUG